rnacentral:rRNA from 1 species
UACGGAGGGAGCUAGCGUUGUUCGGAAUUACUGGGCGUAAAGGGCGCGCAGGCGGCCUUAGAAGUCAGAUGUGAAAGCCCCGGGCUCAACCUGGGAGUGGCAUUUGAUACUCUGAGGCUGGAGUACGGGAGAGGAGAGUGGAAUUCCCAGUGUAGAGGUGAAAUUCGUAGAUAUUGGGAAGAACACCGGUGGCGAAGGCGGCUCUCUGGACCGUAACUGACGCUGAGGCGCGAAAGCGUGGGGAGCAAACAGG